rnacentral:rRNA from 12 species
AACCAACAAUGAAAAACCGCUGGCUAAGUUUUUAUGGAACUAACAGAAUUGAACAGUGGUUGAGGGGUAGUUUGACUGGGGCGGUCGCCUCCAAAAGAGUAACGGAGGCGCGCAAUAGUAAGCUAAACUUUUAUUAUGGAAGUUUUUAGGGUAAUGCCAUAUGCUUGCUUGACUGUGUGAAGGACACUUCUAACAGGGACGAAAGUCGGUCAUAGUGAUCCGGUAGUU